AUACGGGGGGUGCAAGCGUUAAUCGGAAUUACUGGGCGUAAAGGGCUCGUAGGCGGAAAGAUAAGUUGACGGUGAAAUCCCCGGGCUUAACCUGGGCAGGUCCGUCAAAACUGUUUAUCUAGAGUACAGUAGAGGGAGGGGGAAUUUCCGGAGUAGCGGUGAAAUGCGUAGAUAUCAGAAGGAAUACCAGUGGCGAAGGCGCCCUCCUGGACUGAAACUGACGCUGAGGGGCGAAAGCGUGGGGAGCGAACAGGAUUAGAAACCCCAGUAGUCC
rnacentral:rRNA from 1 species